rnacentral:rRNA from 1 species
GAUCCUGGCUCAGAUUGAACGCUGGCGGCAGGCCUAACACAUGCAAGUCGAGCGGUAACAGGGGUAGCUUGCUACCCGCUGACGAGCGGCGGACGGGUGAGUAACGCAUAGGAAUUUACCCGGUAGUGGGGGAUAACCUGGGGAAACCCAGGCUAAUACCGCAUACGUCCUACGGGAGAAAGGGGGCUUUGGCUCCCGCUAUCGGAUGAGCCUAUGCCGGAUUAGCUAGUUGGUGAGGUAAUGGCUCACCAAGGCGACGAUCCGUAGCUGGUCUGAGAGGAUGAUCAGCCACAUCGGGACUGAGACACGGCCCUGAACUCCUACGGGAGGCAGCAGUGGGGAAUAUUGGACAAUGGGGGCAACCCUGAUCCAGCCAUGCCGCGUGUGUGAAGAAGGCCCUCGGGUUGUAAAGCACUUUCAGCGAGGAAGAACGCCUGUCGGUAAUACCCGG